rnacentral:miRNA from 14 species
GGAUUUCACAUUGCAGGAAGCA